rnacentral:rRNA from 1 species
CCUACGGGUAGCAGCAGUGGGGAAUAUUGGACAAUGGGCGAAAGCCUGAUCCAGCCAUGCCGCGUGUGUGAAGAAGGCCUUCGGGUUGUAAAGCACUUUCAGUGGGGAAGAAAGCCUUGGGGCUAAUACCCUCGAGGAAGGACAUCACCCACAGAAGAAGCACCGGCUAACUCCGUGCCAGCAGCCGCGGUAAUACGGAGGGUGCGAGCGUUAAUCGGAAUUACUGGGCGUAAAGCGCGCGUAGGCGGUCUGAUAAGCCGGUUGUGAAAGCCCCGGGCUCAACCUGGGAACGGCAUCCGGAACUGUCAGGCUAGAGUGCAGGGGAGGAAGGUAGAAGUCCCGGUGUAGCGGUGAAAUGCGUAGAGAUCGGGAGGAAUACCAGUGGCGAAGGCGGCCUUCUGGACUGACACUGACGCUGAGGUGCGAAAGCGUGGGUAGCAAACAGGAUUAGAUACCCCGGUAGUC